AAACUUAAAGGAAUUGACGGGACCGCACAAGCGGUGGAUGAUGUGGUUUAAUUCGAUGCAACGCGAAAACCUUACCACCUUGACAUGUACGGAAUCCUUAGAGAUAGAGGAGUGCUCGAAAGAGAACCGUAACACAGGUGCUGCAUGGCUGUCGUCAGCUCGUGUCGUGAGAUGUUGGGUUAAGUCCCGCAACGAGCGCAACCCUUGUCAUUAGUUGCUACAUUCAGUUGGGCACUCUAAUGAGACUGCCGGUGACAAACCGGAGGAAGGUGGGGAUGACGUCAAGUCCUCAUGGCCCUUAUAGGUGGGGCUACACACGUCAUACAAUGGAUGGUACAAAGGGUCGCCAACCCGCGAGGGGGAGCCAAUCCCAUAAAGCCAUUCGUAGUCCGGAUCGCAGUCUGCAACUCGACUGCGUGAAGUCGGAAUCGCUAGUAAUCGUGGAUCAGAAUGUCACGGUGAAUACGUUCCCGGGUCUU
rnacentral:rRNA from 1 species